rnacentral:snoRNA from 1 species
AACCCAUGGUGAAGACAUCUUUUAAGUAAAUCCUUGUAUCUCUCCCAAGCUUCAUACAAUGAUUUUGAAUCCAAUUGCACAAAAGAUGUGAUGUCAUUCCGCAUCUU